GUUUCAAUUCCUCAUAGGCAGGCUAUCGGCGGUGCCACCGUCACGAGAUUCCCAUCUGUCGUGUUGUG
rnacentral:sRNA from 1 species